CAAUGCGCCUUUGGAUUUAUUAUGUACCUCUGCGGCCACCAUACACUGGCAUCAUAUAGUUAGGGUCUUAGCCUAUGUAUUAGAGCAGUAAAAUAGCCGAUUGAAGGCGGUAGGAGAAACAUUUAUAAGUAUCCCCUCGGCACUGUCUAUAGCGGAUACACGGGCUAGAUAGAGUUACAAUUACUACCUCAUUCAUGUUUGUAUAACGGAAACUGGGUUUGUUAAACCGAGAGGAUGCGGCUUGUAGGUAAUCUUCGGCCUCCUCUUCUCCUUAAACAAUACGUCUGCUCGAAGGACCAGAAACUCCCGGCACCGCUCUGGUAGCCUCAGCCUUUUGCCACAAAUCUGCAGUGAAUCUUCGCUGGCCUCAUGACCUCUUACCCCACCGGCCUUAUAAUCACCUCGCCUACGUCAUCGUCUAUUUAACCCCUCACCAGAGGGGCAAGAGGCUCUCGGGGUUUACAUUGUUGGGGGUGAGGUGAGAGCUGUCAGGGGUGAAUUUAUUUUUUGUAUGCUGUGGAGCCACUGCAGGGUUAUAUGAGGAGAAAUGGCAAACCAGCCAGUGAUUCUUAAUGUGUAUGAUAUGUAUUGGAUCAAUGAGUAUACGUCAUCCCUUGGAAUUGGAGUCUUCCAUUCUGGCAUUCAGGUAUAUGGUAGAGAGUUUGCUUAUGGCGGUCAUCCCUAUCCAUUUUCUGGAAUCUUUGAAAUCACACCUGGGGAUUCAACUGAAUUAGGAGACACUUUUAAAUUUAAGUAAGUAA